CUGCCCUAUGGGUUGUAAACUGCUUUUGUCAGGGAAUAAACCUUUCUACGUGUANGAAGCUGAAUGUACCUGANGAAUAAGGAUCGGCUAACUCCGUGCCAGCNGCCGCGGUAAUACGGAGGAUCCAAGCGUUAUCCGGAUUUAUUGGGUUUAAAGGGUGCGUAGGCGGUCCUAUAAGUCANUGGUGAAAGACGGCAGCUUAACUGUCGCAGUGCCUUUGAUACUGUAGGACUUGAAUCUAUUUGAAGUGGGCGGAAUAAGACAAGUAGCGGUGAAAUGCAUAGAUAUGUCUUAGAACUCCGAUUGCGAAGGCAGCUCACUAAGUUAGUAUUGACGCUGAUGCACGAAAGCGUGGGGAUCAAACAGGAUUAGAUACCCUGGUAGUCCACGCCCUAAACGAUGAUAACUCGAUGUUUGCGAUACACAGUAAGCGUCCAAGCGAAAGCGUUAAGUUAUCCACCUGGGGAGUACGGUCGCAAG
rnacentral:rRNA from 1 species